rnacentral:misc_RNA from 1 species
CCCUUCGAUUAAAAGAUGAUGGGAACUGAUGAUCGUAGUUCCACAGCUAGUACCGUGAGUGAAGUAUUUAAGACAGUUCUGCAGAGUCCGGCACCGAUAUGCAUGUUCUAUCUUUCACAUCCCUUCGGAGUGGUAUCUCCAUCAUCGGGAAGCGAUGCCUUCAAAAGCCGAACGUUCUCAUCGUAUCCUGGCAGAGAUGAUCAAAUAGUUUCCGGCGACAAUGAUGAUGGUGACGGGAACGACGCGCUAUAUCAAAGACGAAGGCGGAAACAGUUGGGUGAAAAGCCUGUCGUUCUGAAUAGAACCAACGCAAGGAGACGAGAAGAUUGGUCGGGAAACUUGACAGGGUGUAAUCACGACGCCCGAACAACAAGUGGCCUGAGGGAUAGCUCGAGGAUGCGAUCCGGACACCUCAUCCCGUGGCCUAGGGAUACAUGGAGGAGGGAAUUCGUACUGCCACCCCUGAUCCAGUUCCGUGGAAAACAGAAAGACGAAGCAACUGCACCUGAUUUAGAAGUGAUACUUAGAACUAUACGACAGGCUUGGAAUUCGCCAUAUCCUAGAUCAAAUCUACAAAGUCGUUCGUACGAAGAUACCGAUACACCUACGUCUGAGUGGAAUAUCCCCACUACACGAAAUUUUGGAGUAAAAUUCAGACAACAGCAGAAACUAAGUGAUAUCAGCAAAAUGGGCUCAGGAAAUAAUUCAACGCCCGUCAUAUCCGGAUUAUUAAGGAGACGCUACUCCGUCCCGGAAAUCAUAAUGAGAAAACACAGUCUAGCUCAACAGAAAUCUUUUGACGAGAGUUCAGCGGCAACAGCACCAUCUCCUAAUCGUUCUCCGGCACCAGUCUAUCAUAAAUCUUACUCAACAAACACCCCCACUCGAACCUAUCCACUUUCAUCUGGAUCAGAUUCGAAUCUGUCCCUUCGACGUUUCGAUCAUCGUGGCGGUGAGAUGUCCAUGCGCAAAUCAACCCUACUUCGUCGCAUUUGGAGCCGUGAAUUGAAAAGAUAUGAUGACACACGUUCAGGAAGCUGGUCACCACCAAUGCGUCGAUCACAACGUCGCCUUCAUCCUGAACCAGUGGAACAACAUCGUUGCGAGGAAUGUCGCAAGCUUGAAGACGAUCACAGCGAUGAGUCUGAAGAAUUGGUUGUUGGAGCAUCACGUAAACGUCUACGAUUGAUUUCUUCACAUGGAAAGGAGGCCAUCGAUCAGUCAUCCGCCUCAUAUCAUACCUCAUCUGCAAAUUAUACACAAUCGACAUCCGAAAGGACCCAGAUAACAACACCAAAUAAUGGCAGCCUGGAGAGCACACCACUGAAGUCAGCGUCAACAACAACCACUACCUCCUCUUCGAUUCAAAAAUCGAACAAUGUUCAUAUUUACAUGACCCCAAUCAAAUCAGACCAAUCAAAUUCUGAACCGAUCGAUCAGGGUCAAGAUAUGCUUCACGUAGAAAUAGAUGUAGAUAAUAGUGAAACAAAUGGGAACAGUAUUCAGAUGAAUUCGGACGAAAACCAGAACGAACAAGCUUUGGUCGAAAGUCCGCAAACCGUGGUUCCUGGGAAGACCACAACUGUCAGUGGCACCGGGGACUCUCCUCUAGAUAAGUUCAUAUCAAAACUACUCAUUGACAACUUAGCCGAUCUUGCCGACGAGAUCAACGAACAGUUUGAAAACAACAACAACCUCAUGAGAAACACAUCCACCCCGAAAUCUAAACGAGUCUCUGUGGUAUACCUCACUCCUGAGCAUAUGGAAGCGGUCGUUAGCAGAUCCCAGAACUCGACAACCGACAACAUAUCAUCAGACAGUAACAACCUCAUGAUCACCACAGAUUCAUCUAACAAUGAACGAAUCAUCUACUUUCCAAGUUGCUCUUUGGAAUGCAAGGAUGACAUGUCGAGCUUCAAUUCAAACUGUUCAGACAUUGAACUUCAUAACAUAUCUGGAGAAAGUCUAGUCACAGUCAAUGCUGGAAGUGCAUACCUGCAAAACGCACACACAACUACUUUGGUAGUCCCACGAAUGCUGAAUAAAUUCCCCCGAACUGAGUCCUUGGAAGCUGAAUACUCCUUGACCUCAGCCAGAGAAGAAGAGGAGGACAAUGCAAAUGGGAACGAUACAGACGAUAGUGUUAGUCUAGUCGAUAGUUUAGAUGAACCGCAUCCUUCCAGCAACAAUAAUGAAAAUUCGGCAGAAAAGACUGAGGAAAUUACGGAUGAACCCAAGACUGAGCCUAAUAAUCCCGACGAUGAAGAGGCAGAUGAGGAGGAGAAUACCCCUUCAAUGUGCCGAGAACCUGAAGCUUUUUUCAUUCCUAUAGCUGGUUCUGAGUCAGAGAAGGUCCGAUCUGGCAGUGUGAGUGAAGCCAUGCCAGAAAAGUUGAAGGAAAGGAUCAUACAACGGCAACGUGAAUUAGACAAGAAGAAAAUCGAAGAGCAUCGGAAGAAGCAGAAGAAGUUGGAAGAACUAAUAGAUCCUAAGUUAGAAGAGCAAGGCUUUACCGAAAAGUCACCAGUUCGGCUGAAAAAAGAUUCACCAGUUAAAGAAAAGCCUCCGGUUCCAAAGAAAUCGGAGAGCCUUACUAGAAAACUCAAAAGCAAAUCCAACGCUAUACAUCUUCACACAGAAAUCAGUCUCUUGGAGUCCUACACAAUCGACUCAAAGGGCAACAUGCAAAUGAGAGCCCCACAACAGAAGACUGAAUCCACGUCAACUGGCAUCACAAGCACAAGUGGCGCUACUAAGAAGCUAUAUCCUAGUAAGUCGAAGAUUCAGCGAAAGCAAAGCAUGAUUGCGCCAAAGCCACCAGAAAUUGCUCCUUCCAUACAGGACAGAAAACCACUGUCUUCAAGCUCACACAACAAGUCCAGAAGCCAAGCAAAGAGGGACGUCCAAAAGAUGACAAUUUUUCAGGCUCAAUCAGACAUAAUCACGCCUGACUCCGAGAACGGUCCACGCCGUGUAUACCAAAAGACUGAAAUUCAAGACGGAGAGAAACAUAUCGAAAUCUUGGAGAUUGUGGAAUGCAUCGAGAGCUCUCCGGAAAGUUCACCGGAUCGCCAUCAAACUUAUCGAUGUUCAAGUAAAUCCGCCUUAUCACGUCGAUCGAAAAUUCCUAUUCCCGUCUAUAAAAUGGGUAGAUCGUCCGGUUAUCAAAAAGCUAUACGCUGUCCCCUUCUACGUGAAGCCAGUCCAAAUAGUGUGAAAUGCAUCGCCCGAAAUCUCCAGACUAGCUCUUGCAACAAAGUUGAUCGUGUUAUUGCUGAGUUGCUCAUUGACGCACUGAACAGACCUGAAGAGAUCGGUAUAGAAAUCAUCAAGUCCCCGAAAGACCUAUCACGUGAUAAAUCCUCGAAGCGACAAAACAAUCAGCGACGAAACACUCCUCGUAGAUCGGCGAAUAACACAAAAUAUCAACAAGUUUUCGAGGUGAUACCAGAAGAAAAGAGUAGCUUUUCCGUGGACUCUUCCACGGACGAUGCUACCAAGUCGUCGUCCACAAAGGCUCGAACUAGGGACUCGUCUUCGACGCAAAUGAAGACUUCCGAUAGUACGGCUCCAACCAAAGAACUCAAUGAACUUCCAACAGAAUCGUCUUCAAGCACGUCAGCGACCAACCCAAAAUCCUCGACGACCAGCAAUCCAGGACGUCUAGCGGUGGACCAUGCAGAACCGAACGCCUGGAUCGGAUUCUUCAGGCGCCACGACAGCUCCAUGGACGAAGAUGAUUCUCCAUCUCAACCGUACCCCAACUCCACUGCCGCCUCAUCAUGUCAACCAACAAUAUCUUCACCAAGUACGAACACAGCUGCUGCCGGGACUACAACACCUAAAGACAUAUCAUCAGCUGAAUGUCUUAACAGUGCCGAGUCUGAUAAUGUCCUUAAGCUCAUCGACAAAACAUUCCAAAAUUCUACCAAAUCAAAAAUUCAAGCUCCUUCGAAACCUGCAUCAUCAUUAGACUAUGUCGCGGAAACUGCCACUACCGCUGCCACAAUCGCCUCUGGGACCACUUCCACUAUCACAUCUGAAACUUUUUCAAAUACAUGUAAUUCAUGUAAACUCUUGGAAAGGAAAAAUGGAGCUGAAACAUGCAAGAAUAUUGAAAACGCAAAACCAUCUAUAAAAAGCAAAAAACCUCAGAGCAAUGCACUUAGGAAGAGCAACACAGUUUUGAAAAUCGACUUGAAGCAAUCCUCGGAGAGUUCCAGCCAAAGUUCGAUCUCGUCAACAUCCACAACAGCCGAAGCGAGUUCUAGCUCAAAGGGAAGCGAAAAACCCAAAGACAAACUCAGUUCGGAAAAGGCUCAUCCGCCUGAUGUAUGGCGCGUUCAGUCCCCCGACAUAUGUAAAAAGGCAAUCCCGAAACUGAAAGGACGCGAGAACGAGCCAUCAACAUGUGAAACGAUGACUGAAAUCGACACUAAAUCGUUCAUUAUAAUCGAAGAUAGCUGUAACAUGAGUCCUUCAACGCUAAACUACUCAGCAAAUAUCCCAACAAAAGUCAUCCCUACCUCAACGGACUCGAACACCCCUAUCCUAACUAAUAAGUGUACAAUAUGCUGCUUUUGUAAUCCGGAUUUGCACAAAUCCGGUAAAACUACCUCCUCCACACCGUGCCCUUAUUGUAAUCGUAGACGUACACCUCCAAAACGCGAGGAGGAAACUAACACAGAAUCGGAUUAUUUUCUAAGCCACCCUUUCUAUCAAUCCAUGACCAAAUUCGAUCAUACUCACAUCCGGACCCGUUCUAGGGAUUCGGACGUUAUCAGUACAAAAUGCACAAAAGUCAAUGAAAAAAUAAAAAAUUACAACUUCCCCGAAGGGACCGCCAGUCAGCAGGAUUCCACCUCGAAAUCGAGAGUCACAAAAAACCUCUCUCGCCCCAAAAACACUAUCAACAUCCCCAAGCGGGCGGAACCGGGAGCCGUGCAUAAAACCACCCAGGAUACCAUCAAGUCAAAGGACUCGAAAAUGAAAAAUUCUAGUCCGGAUAGGAAAGCAUUUCGCCUGCCCAGUCCUUACGCUAAUCUAUCGUCAACUAGCUUUGAGCGUACAUCGAGUCCUAGCUCGUCGUCGGAUUCCACUUGUCCUACGACGCCUAGCCGCUGUCCCAUCCUGCCAUCGGCACGAAGACACAAUUUCGCGGCGGCUCGAAGUAAUUCCAAGGAGGCGGAGCGACGGAAGGAGAAGCAUCCGGCCGGGAAGGCGACAGCAGUUGGCGGUAAUAACAAUGAAAGUGUUUCGGAUAAUGCAAACAACAAUGGUGGGAGCAACAAUGCGAAAGUGAAUGGGCAGACCAACGGAUGGUCCGUAACAGUUGCCGGCUCCUACAAUCAAGACAUGGCUCCUGACUUAGAAAUGCGUCUAAGUUUCCCCAAACCUGGCGGUAGUGGUGGUCUUCAACAUCAACAACAAUCAAUUACAUCAAAUCAAACCGUACAUCAAAAUGUCUCCGACCGUCGAGAGAUUCAUCAUCACCAACGCGUCACCAACGGGAACAACAUUUACAGCGAGAGCCACUAUCAGGACGAGGACCUUUUGAAUGACAAUUUUACGCGGAGUAACAAUCAUCAUCAAUUCCAAGCGUUACCGCCAGCAGGAAAUCCGAAACGGACGUUGACCAGAAUUGUAUCAGGUUUGUCUAAGAGCGAACUCAUAGCCAACGUGAUAUCAACUUUCCGGAAGUGAGCCCGUCAUCGAGAAAUCCCAUCGCAUCGCGGCAAAUGGCUAAAAAGGCGAUCAAGCACACGGAAUGUAGUGUAGCGGUGACUUCAGCUACACGAACCAUUUCCAACUUCACCCGCGGACGCAGGACUAUGUCGUAUCAGUCCCUGAACACGGCAGAGUCACUAAGGACCAAUACGAAUAAGAACACCAACA